rnacentral:rRNA from 1 species
UACGGGGGGGGCAAGCGUUGUUCGGAAUUACUGGGCGUAAAGGGCUCGUAGGCGGCCAACUAAGUCGGAUGUGAAAUCCCCAGGCUUAACCUGGGAACUGCAUCCGAUACUGGAUGGCUUGAAUCCGGGAGAGGGAUGCAGAAUUCCAGGUGUAGCGGUGAAAUGCGUAGAUAUCUGGAGGAAUACCGGUGGCGAAGGCGGCAUCCUGGACCGGCAUUGACGCUGAGGAGCGAAAGCUAGGGGAGCAAAGCGGG